AGCCAGUUCUGAUUUCUCCUAGCCCCAGCCAAACACUUCCGUAUGAAUUAAUAACCAGGAGCUGGAGCUUAAUUAAUAACCACAGCGAUGCUGGCACAGGGCAGUGGUGUGUCCAUGGGGCCGGAUCAGCCUCUCCCCGCAGCACCCCUGUUCACCUGGGGGUCGCAAGCAAGUGCUUGGCUCCCUGCAGGGCCUCGGGGGGGUCUCAGGGUGCAUCGAGCUGCCAAAUGUGCUGGGGAGGAGCCGCUCCCCCUCCCCGCCUUGCCUUCUGUUCCCUUGCGGCCGCUCUGAAAAUGGGCCGCUUAAUUCAAAGCCUCUGGAGGAAAGGAGAGGGGGAAUCUCUGGUUACGUCUGCACUUGCAAAGCAAACAGUCCCAGGGCAUUCCCAGGCACGGCAGCGUGACUGUCCACAUGGGAAUUCGUAGCACUGCCCUGGCGUGAUUUUGGCUUGGGGCAGCUCCCGCUGAUGCAGGCAAGUUUUUGCUCCUGGUUUGGGCACUAGCUCGGCUUAGGGACAGUCCCGGCAGGGCUCGGCACACCAUUUGCAGGAUGUGUUGAACACCCCGGAGGUGGGCAGCUCCAUGGCAGAGGCCCUCUGGGGCAGAGAACAACCCCGGGCUUAUUUCCUUUAUUGCAUAGAACAGCUUUUGUGCCUAGAGCAUCCUUCCCGGAGCGCCUGGCGAUGGGCACCGCGACAACACAGCUGCUCCAGGACUUUGGGCAGAGGAGCACCCACCACGGUGCCACAACAGCAGCUGCAUUUGCACAACCACUGGGCAGAGGAUGGGGAAAAACCCGUGUACGUGCGUGCGUGCGUGCACGCGCCCGUGCCAGGUCCUUGGCGUGCCAUGUGCACGGCCGGGCACGUGUGCCAGCCGGCAGCCCCGGCGCGGGCGCGUGUGCUCUGCGUGGGCUGGGCGUGUUUUUUGCUCCACACAUGCCUUCAUCUGCCGCCGCGGUUUGGAUCCAGAGAGAGGGAGCCCGUGCGUUUGAUGUCUGCGUGUGCUGGGCUCUGCAGCUGCCCCAAGCUCCUGGGAAAGGAGCAGCCGAAGGAAGAGCCAAGCAGAGAUGGGCCCGAGGGCGCAGCUGGUGCUGUAUCAUCGCCUGGCAGCCUCGGGGCUGGAGCCUGAAGAAUAAAACUGAAGGGAGGGGGAGAAAAGAUCCUCCUCUUUCACGUGGAAGAGCAGCUGCCUCCCAGGUAAGCUGCAAAGCUGCUUCCUUACCUGCAUAA
rnacentral:lncRNA from 1 species